UUCCUCUCAGGGUCACACUUGGAGAGUUUCCAGUACUCUACCAUCCUUGGAUAUGAGAGGGAGAGUCAAGCAGAGGCUUACCCAUUCCAUUGCUAGCUUGGCCAAUGGCUGGCGAGUGGAAGGCAAUCUGCUACAAGU